rnacentral:ncRNA from 2 species
CGUCCUCUAAGGGGGUGCCUGAAAACAACGGGCUGAGAUCAUACCCUUAGUACCUGAUCCGGAUAAUGCCGGCGAAGGGAGAAUGGCCACGGGGACUU